GACGAACGCUGGCGGCGUGCUUAACACAUGCAAGUGGUGCGACGAACCAGGCUUCGGCCUGGGGCAGAGCCGCGAACGGGUGAGUAACACGUGGGCAACCUGCCCUGUUGCUCGGGACAACCCGGGGAAACCCGGGCUAAUACCGAAUGUGGUGCCGGCUCAUGCGAGCCGUCCCGAAAGGAAGCGUCGUCCUCCGCGACCGGAUGGGCCCGCGGCCCAUUAGCUUGUUGGUGGGGUAAUGGCCUACCAAGGCAACGAUGGGUAGCUGGUCUGAGAGGACGAUCAGCCACACUGGGACUGAGACACGGCCCAGACUCCUACGGGAGGCUGCAGUGGGGAAUCUUGCGCAAUGAGCGACAGCUUGACGCAGCAACGCCGCGUGGGGGAAGAAGGCUUUCGGGUCGUAAACCCCUUUCAGUUAGGACGAAGCUUUAUUGGUUAAUAACCAAUUGGAGUGACGGUACUUUCAGAAGAAGCCCCGGCUAACUACGUGCCAGCCGCCGCCGUAA
rnacentral:rRNA from 1 species